ensembl:lncRNA
CUGACCAGACCUGACCUGACCAGACCAGACCUGACCUGACCAGACCUGACCAGACCUGACCUGACCUGACCUGACCAGACCUGACCAGACCUGACCUGACCUGACCAGACCUGACCUGACCUGACCAGCAUAAUGACCAUACCUGACCAGACCUGACCUGACCAGCAUAAUGACCAGACCAAACCUGACCAGACCUGACCAGACACAGAGAAGAGGUAAAGCCUCCUCUGUGAUUGGAAUAAGGGUCAGUAAAAAGACCGGAGGAUUUAGUUGAUCACCUAUAUUUUAUUUGUGGACAGGUAAGGAGGAGUCUUAACAUGGAAAGGUGAGUUUAUACAAGGUGGAUUUUUUAUUUUGAAUAGUUUUAUUAGAUCUAAAUGAAAUAUGUUUGAACUAAUUUUAUGUGGAUAUUGGUUGAGGCCCAAAGGGAUCAUUUGCACCUCUGUAAUUUAGGGUAAAGAAUUUUAAAGUAAUAUAUUUGAUUUUGCUCAAGAUUUUGUAAGCCUUUGCACUGCAACUUCAUACUUGUAUCCAUAUAAUGCUCAUAUCAUUGAUUGUAAUAACUAUUUUUAAUGUAAAAAUUAAGGGAUGCUGCAUAUUUCAUUAUUUUGUGGUAAAAAAUACAAAUAAAGUGAACGUAUUUGCAAAAAUAAAAGCUGCCUCAACUAUUUUACUUUAUCUUUACAUUUGAAUGUGUCAAGGGGCAAUAUUGAAGUUGAUCAAUGACCAUACAGUGCAUUCGAAAGUAUUCAGACCCCUCAACUUUUCUACAUUUUGUUACAUUACAGCCUUAUUCUAGAAUUGAUUAAAUAGUUUCCCCCCUCAUCAAUCUACACACAUUACCCCAUUAUGACAAAGAAAAAACAGGUUUUUAGAUUUUUUUAGCAAAAAAAAAAGGACUGAAAUAUCACAUUUAUAUAAGUAUUCAGACCCUUUACUCAGUACUUUGUUGAAGCACCUUUGGCAGCAAUUACAGCCUCGAGUCUUCUUGGGUAUGACACACAAGCUUGGCACACCUGUAUUUUGGGAGUUUCUCCCAUUCUUCUCUGCAGAUCCUCUCAAGCUCUGUCAGGUUGGAUGGGGACCGUUGCUGCACAGCUAUUUUAAGGUUUCUCCAGAGAUGUAUGAUCGUGUUCAAAUACAGGCUCUGGCUGGGCCACUCAAGGACAUUCAGAGACUUGUCAUGAAGCCACUCCUGUGUCAUCUUGGCUGUGUGCUUAGGGCUGUUGUCCUGUUGGAAGGUGAACCUUCGCCCCAGUCGGCGGUCCUGAGGACUCUGGAGCAGGUUUUCAUCAAGGAUCUCUUUGUACUUUGUUCUGUUCAUCUUUGCCUAGAUCCUAACUAGUCUCCCAGUCCCUGCUGCUGAAAAACUUCCCCACAGCAAGAUGCUGCCCUCACCAUGCUCACACUGCCCCCACCAGGCUCACCGUAGGGAUGGUGCCAGGUUUAUUCCAGACAUGACGCUUAGCAUUCAGGCCAAAGAGUUCAAUCUUGUAUUCAUCAGACCAGAGUAUCUUGUUUCUCAUGGUCUGAGAGUCUUUAGGUGCCUUUUGGCAAACUCCAAGCGGGCUGUGUUCUUGGGGACCGUCAAUGCUGCAGAAAUGUUUUGGAACUCUUCCCCAGAUCUGUGCCUCGACACGAUCCUGUCUCUGUGCUCUACGGACAAUUCCUGUGUCCUCAUGACUUUGUUCUGACAUGCAUUGUCAACUGUGGGACUAUCAGAACUCAGGAUAAGACCCAGAUGCAGACAGCUAGAGUCACAGAUGUUUAUUGACCCAAACAGGGAGCAGGCAAAAGAGGUCCGUAAUCCAGGGCAGAGUCAAUAAGGUACAGAACAGCAGGGAGGCUUGGGGUCAGGACAGGCAGAGGUUCUUAAACGGGUCAAAGUCAGGCAGGUACAGAACAGCAGGGAGGCUUGGGGUCAGGACAGGCAGAGGUUCUUAGGAGGUUCAAAGUCAGGCAGGUACAGAACAGCAGGGAGGCUCGGUGUCAGGACAGGCAGAGGUUCUUAAAUGGGUCAAAGUCAGGCAGGUACAGAACAGCAGGGAGGCUCGGGGUCAGGACAGGCAGAGGUUCUUAAACGGGUCAAAGUCAGGCAGGUACAGAACAGCAGGCAGGCUCGGGUCAGGGCAGACAGAACGGUCAGAACCAGGGUAAUUAGGGAACAGAACUUGAGAAAGCAGGGAUACAGGAAAUCUCCAGUUUGGACUCCAGAUCAAAGGACAACUUUCCACCGGUCUAAUGUCCAUUGCUCGUGUGUCUUGGCCCAAGCAUAUAUUUUCUUCUUAUUGGUGUCCUUUAGUAGUGGUUUCUUUGCAGCAAUUCGACUGAAGCUGUGAUUCACUCAGUCUCCUCUGAACAGUUGAUGUUGAGAUGUUACUUGAACUCUGUGAAGCAUUUAUUUGGGCUGCAAUUUCUGAGGCUGGUAACUCUAAUGAACUUAUUCUCUGCAACAGAGGUAAUUCUGGGUCUUCCUUUCCUGUGACGGUCUUUAUGAGAGCCAGUUUCAUCAUAGUGCUUGAUGGUUUUUGCGACUGAACUUGAAGAAACUUUCAAAGUUCUUGAAAUGUUCUGUAUUGACUGACCUUCAUGUCUUAAAGUAAUGAUGGACUGUCAUUUCUCUUUGCUUAUUUGAGCUGUUCUUGCCAUAAUAUGGACCUGGUCUUUUACCAAAUAAAGCUAUCUUCUGUAUACCACCACUACCUUGUCACAACACAACUGAUUGGCUCAAACGCAUUAAGAAGGAAAGAAAUUCCACAAAUUAACCUUUUAAAAAGGCACACCUGUUAAUUGAAAUGCAUGGCAGGUAACUACCUCAUGAAGCUGGUUGAAAGAAUGCCAAGAGUGUGCAAAGCUGUCAUCAAGGCAAAGGGUGGCUACUUUGAAGAAUCUCAAAUAUAAAAUAUAUUUUGAUUUGUUUAGCAGUUUUUAGUUACUACAUGAUUCCAUGUGUGUUAUUUCAUAGUGUUGAUGUCAUCGCUAUUCUACAAUGUAGAAAAUAGUGAAAAUAAAGAAAAGCCCUUGAAUGAGUAGGUCUUCUAAAACUUUUGACAGAGUGUAGUUUUGACAGAGUGCAGUUAUUCAGAUCCUCUCAGAGUUACCCUGAAGGACCAGAGAGCAGACAGUUAAACCAAGUGGCCAACAUUGUUGGUGUCAAUUUGUUCCCUGCGUGUGUGUGAGCAUAGGGGGUGUUGAAGCAAGCUGCUGGAGCUGAAGAAAGCACUGCACUGCACACACACACACACACACACACACACACACACACACACACACACACACACACACACACACACACACACACACACACACACACACACACACACACACACACACCGGCCUUGUUUAUUGGUUAUCACACCUCCUAUUGUUUUCUCCCAACAGCCAGUUCAUGCGAUGCCCCAAUGCCCCCAGUGCGCUCCAGUGCUCUGGCUGAAAUGGGCUCCCCCCCUCCGACUGGGGAUGACCUGAAAUUAGAGCCAAGCCGCCAUGGCCGAAGGCUGUGACUCGGCCACCAGGAGAGGAGGCCCUAAAGAAAGAGGGAGAUUAUCCCAUUCUGCCCGGCCAGUCAGCAGUGGUGGUAUUGACCCAGGCCCACCCAGGGAGAGUCCAGUGAGCCGUGAGAUGGCCUGAUAUACAUGCUUACUGAGCUGGACAGAUUCCCUCACUCUCACCAGGGAUAAACCCAACCUUACAAGGCACUGUCUUAAACACUGCUCUGGAGAUUACAGGAGUGACCCCCUCUCUGGGUGGAAACACACACACACACACACACAGAGCAGAGACCUCAUCCUAUUCACUGUCCAGGCUACCAUUAGGUGUUUGGCAAGGCUUCUCAUUGUUUCUGUCCUGUGAGGCGAAGAGGGGUCAUCAGAACAGAACGGGCCAAGCAUCCUACAGUGGCCUGGUGGGAAACAUUCUGAAAUGAUAGUAAAUAACACCAACAAUAUAUUGGCAAUUACUGUAUCAAUAUCUUCAGUUAUGAUGACUAUUGUGAAGAAACAAGGUGAGAGAAUUUAAACUCAAACUAAACGGGUCAACACUAUCCACUAUCCAGUUCUGAGGUCUGUUGGCAAACAUUAAAUAAAACAAAUAAAUAUACCUGUAAUUUUUCUAGACCCAGUCAACAUAACUUUUAAAAAUAUCUGAUUACACCUAAAGUUUGCUGACACAGACUUGAUCCCUAUAUGGGGCAUAAACCCUACAAUAUGUCCACUAAUAUUCAGCAACACAAAACACUUGCUAGAGUUAUUUGCCAUAAAAAGUCUACAAAUGACUUAUCCCACAAAUAAGACCCAAUGUUGAUGUCUGUCCCUGGUUUACAAUUGCUGUAUGUUUGAAUAUGUUUUGACAUUUGUUUCCCUAAUGUGGAAAAACAUUCUGUAUUUUUUACAUUUUUAAUUUCACCUAUCAAAUAACAACUGGCCAACAGCACAAUGAACAGACAACUCCUCUGAGCAAAAUCACCUUAACCAAAUGUAUGCUAUUUGAAUGAAUUUUCACCUUUUUUACCAUUUACUAUGGUAUGUCAUAUGGCCUGAACCUAGCCAUCCAGCUUCCUCUCCACUGCCCAAUGACUUCCUAUGACAACAAACAGUUCCUCCCUGCAGGGCAGUAAAAGUCCUAUGGACCGUAAUCAAAGGGAUUAGGGGUGGCCAUUGUCCUAUAAUUGAGGCACUAUUGCUAAGUUAGUAGUGGUAGUUUGUUUGUAGGUGCCUAACAACCCCAAACAUUACUGACACAAAUGACCUUUACAAUGACAGAGCAGUAGACAAAGCAGGCCUAUGUCAUGCAUAUGACCAAUUAAAGCAAAUAAGAGUCCACAGAAAAACAAAGGAAAUAGAACUUAAUUAUCAAAAAAAAAUCAGAUCAAUAAUUAGAUGAGGUAUUAAUGAACAUGAUGGCAAUUUCUCUUUUUUAUUGGAAUUGUGUAUGAUAUAUUCAGACUAUUAAAGGUGUAUGAUAUAUUCAGACUAUUAAAGGUGUAUGAUAUAUUCAGACUAUUAAAG